rnacentral:rRNA from 1 species
GAUGAACGCUGGCGGCGUGCCUAAUACAUGCAAGUCGAGCGAACAGACGAGGAGCUUGCUCCUCUGACGUUAGCGGCGGACGGGUGAGUAACACGUGGAUAACCUACCUAUAAGACUGGGAUAACUUCGGGAAACCGGAGCUAAUACCGGAUAACAUGUUGAACCGCAUGGUUCAACAGUGAAAGACGGUUUUGCUGUCACUUAUAGAUGGAUCCGCGUCGCAUUAGCUAGUUGGUAAGGUAACGGCUUACCAAGGCAACGAUGCGUAGCCGACCUGAGAGGGUGAUCGGCCACACUGGAACUGAGACACGGUCCAGACUCCUACGGGAGGCAGCAGUAGGGAAUCUUCCGCAAUGGGCGAAAGCCUGACGGAGCAACGCCGCGUGAGUGAAGAAGGUCUUCGGUUCGUAAAACUCUGUUAUUAGGGAAGAACAAAUGUGUAAGUAACUAUGCACGUCUUGACGGUACCUAAUCAGAAAGCCACGGCUAACUACGUG